CAGGGUGUGACCGCUGGGUCUGGACUUUGGAUACCCGGAAUUGGCAACCAGAGGCGCCAGGUCGUAGGCCUGGGGAAGCGAGAUUCUCCCAGGGAUUUCUCUGAGCUGGAGGGAAGCCAGAACACUAGUAGUCUCCAUAAUGUCCUUUAGUUCUCUGAGCAACUCUGGUCGAUAGCUUUGGUCACCAGCCUGUGUCUGGCUCCAAGGGACUCCAUAUUGUCUACAGUGGUACCUCUCAUACCAUGCCUUUUCCUGAGAACAGCAAUUUGCUCCAUUUUGAUCUGGCUUUGAACCAUGGUCCUCGUGGCCCAGGCCCAUACCGACCAGGCAAAUCCCAGCCACCUGUAUCCAAAAAGGACCGAACCAAUAAUACCUUUACAUGAAGGGAUGGAGAAAAUUGCCCCUAAGGAAAGGAGCAGGACACUCUCCACAGGACAGGACUCUGUCCAGGCAACAAUGAUUUGACCUGACUUCUCAAGUAAUGUCAAUGACAACAACUCCUGAACCUAUGCCAGAGCAAGGACGGAGAUAAUGACCAACCAGACCACAAUGUAACUGGGGCUGUUGAAUGCAUACCUGUCACUUCCUGCCCUAAUUACUUUUCUAUGUAAACCCAAGGCUUAUGCCUCAUCUCUAGCAGAAAAAGAUGAUGGGUAAAAGCAGAUGGCAGAAGGGUGAGUGGGCUGAAGUCAUUACUUUGUUUCUUCCUAUAGUAGCUUGGGCUUUGUAAUACCUGCCUUUGUAAUAUCUGCCUUUUACUACUACUCAUCUCUUUAGUUGUGGUGCUGGAGUCAGUGGCCAGUCCUGACUUAAGGAAACCCAGCAUUUGGGGCCUGAGGCCUAAAACUAUGGUUUCAAGCUAGCUUUGUUCCCACCUGCCCCACAGAACAGGCACCAAAGGGAGAUGCUGUUUCUCCAAAAUAAUAUCCCAAGUGAUAUGGUGGAGGAAGUAAGGAUAGAAUAUAAUAUUUGACUUGGAUCGUAUAAAAUGGAUAAUGAA